AGCAGCCGCGGUAAUUCCAGCUCCAAUAGCGUAUAUUAAAGUUGUUGCAGUUAAAAAGCUCGUAGUUGAAUUUCGGAAUCAAUGGAUCGGUCAUGCCACUCGGUGUGUACUGGUUUGAUUGGUUCUCACCUUCUAAGGAACCGUGAUGUCAUUAAUUUGGUGUCGCGGGGAAUUAGGACUGUUACCUUGAAAAAAUUAGAGUGUUUAAAGCAAGCUCACGCUUGAAUACAUUAGCAUGGAAUAAUGAAAUAGGACAUUGUAUUCUAUUUUGUUGGUUUCUAGGAUCGAUGUAAUGAUUAAUAGGGAUAGUUGGGGGCAUUAGUAUUCAAUUGUCAGAGGUGAAAUUCUUGGAUUUAUUGAAGACUAACUACUGCGAAAGCAUUUGCCAAGGAUGUUUUCAUUAAUCAAGAACGAAAGUUAGGGGAUCGAAGACGAUCAGAUACCGUCGUAGUCUUAACCAUAAACUAUGCCGACUAGGGAUCGGAUGAUGUUAAUUUUUAANGUACUCAUUC
rnacentral:rRNA from 1 species